rnacentral:rRNA from 1 species
GAAUCCCGUCUUUGGCAUGGAUGACCGGGGCUUUUGUGAUGCGCUCUCGAAGAGUCGAGUUGUUUGGGAAUGCAGCUCAAAAUGGGUGGUGAACUCCAUCUAAAGCUAAAUACUGGCGAGAGACCGAUAGCGAACAAGUACCGUGAGGGAAAGAUGAAAAGCACUUUGGAAAGAGAGUGAAACAGUACGUGAAAUUGUUGAAAGGGAAACGCUUGAAGUCAGUCACGUCGACCGAGACUCAGCCUUGCCUUGGCUUGGUGUACUUCUCGGCCCGACGGGUCAGCAUCAAUUUUGCCCUUCGGAUAAUGGCGGGGGAAAGGUGGCACCUUUACGGGUGUGUUAUAGUCUCUUGUCGCAUGCGAGGGGUGGGAUUGAGGAACUCAGCGCGCACCUCAGUGUCGGGGCUUCGGCCCACGUCACGCGCUUAGGAUGUUGGCGUAAUGGCUUUAAACGACCCGUCUUGAAACACGGACCAAGGAGUCCAACACGCCCGCGAGUGUUCGGGUGGAAAACCCGUGCGCGUAAUGAAAGUGAAAGUUGGGACCUCUGUCGUGGAGGGCACCGACGCCCGGACCAGACCUUCUGUGACGGAUCUGCGGUAGAGCGUGUGUGUUGGGACCCGAAAGAUGGUGAACUAUGCCUGAAUAGGGUGAAGCCAGAGGAAACUCUGGUGGAGGCUCGUAGCGAUUCUGACGUGCAAAUCGAUCGUCAAAUUUGGGUAUAGGGGCGAAAGACUAAUCGAACCAUCUAGUAGCUGGUUCCUGCC